rnacentral:misc_RNA from 1 species
AAAAAUAUGGCCAUUGGAAAGAUUGGUAUAACUAAAUAGGCACAAUGUGAUUGUUGGAGUCAGUGCUGCUAUUGCUACAAACGGCAAAGAGAAUGGGCACACCACUUCUGGUACCAUGUAAAAUUACUGUGCUGAAGCUCUACUCCUUUUUAUACCAGAAUUACAUUAGGUUUGAUUUUUUAUGUCCCCUCCUUGUUUGAUGAACUUGUUAAGCCGUGCCAUCAGUCAAAUGGAUUAGGUGGUUGAUGCAUAACAAGGAUUGUUUUGUGCAGAUGCUUCUCUCAACUGUGGAAAACCAUAUGGCUUAUUUCUUCAAAGUCUUAUAGAGGUCUUAGGUUUGAGCCAUAGUAUUUUGCCCAUUUCUCCUCUUGUAUCAGGAAAAGUAAAGAUUGGAUAAGGAAACCUCUAUAUAAAUAUUGGGGAGAGAGAUAAUUGGACCACCAACUAAAUGCAUUUCCUUUUUCUUGCACUAAUUUGUUCACUUCAAUAAUUCAGUUGAAUAGCUCUGAUAAAUAAUUUUUACAGGAUGUUGAAAUAGACGAGGGAGUUGAUGCUAUAAUUUCAGAGUGGAUGGGCUACAUGCUUUU